CCUACGGGUGGCUGCAGUGGGGAAUUUUGGACAAUGGGCGCAAGCCUGAUCCAGCCAUGCCGCGUGAGUGAAGAAGGCCUUCGGGUUGUAAAGCUCUUUCGGCUGGGAAGAAAUCGCAUCUCCUAAUACGGGGUGUGGAUGACGGUACCAGCAUAAGAAGCACCGGCUAACUACGUGCCAGCAGCCGCGGUAAUACGUAGGGUGCGAGCGUUAAUCGGAAUUACUGGGCGUAAAGCGUGCGCAGGCGGUUUCGUAAGACAGAGGUGAAAUCCCCGGGCUCAACCUGGGAACUGCCUUGGUGACUGCGAGGCGAGAGUAUGGCAGAGGGGGGUGGAAUUCCACGUGUAGCAGUGAAAUGCGUAGAGAUGUGGAGGAACACCGAUGGCGAAGGCAGCCCCCUGGGCCAAUACUGACGCUCAUGCACGAAAGCGUGGGGAGCAAACAGGAUUAGAUACCCUUGUAGUCGUA
rnacentral:rRNA from 1 species